UCCCAAGGGGACUGGUGGAGCCCUCACAACCUGCUCAGGGCUACUUGACCCUGGAGGGUCAGCCGAAGAGUCUAGUCUAGCUCCAGGACCAACCAAGUCCCCUCUGCGCCAGUUCGGGAACUUCUGGAGGAAGCCGGGCUACCGAUGACAUGCUAAUGGAUCGGGCUUUGGGAAGGCCUGGUUGCUCUGGACAAGAAACCCUGAUUGGUGAAGAACAACUGACCAGCUGUCUCCAGUCCUGUCUGGGAUCAUGUGAGCUUCCAGUCAAAUGAUGGCUCCAGAAUGCUCCCUGGGUGCAGCAAUUAAAAGGGAGGCUUUGCUCUGCACAAACUACCAACCCAGGCUCCUCACCAGGCCUCAGCCCACCACAGAGUGAGAACAGGUCUACAUCUAGCAUGGAGAAACAGGUUGUGUAGCCUUGCCCUCAGACAUGAAUUAUCUGCCUGCAGCUACUCUCUCUCUCUCUCUCUCUCUCUCUCUCUCUCUCUCUCUCUCGCUCUGGUUUUUCUUUUUCCAGACAGGGUUUCCUGGCUGUCCUGGAACUCACUGUGUAGACCAGGCUGGCCUCAAACUCAGAAAUCCGCCUGCCUCUGCCUCCCAAGUGCUGGGAUUAAAGACAUGUGCCACCACCACCCUCCGACUCUGGCUGUCUCUCUUAAAGAGUCCCCACCUCUGAUUUUUAAAGGUGUGACCUUGAAGGAGCCUCUGAGGUAUGAGAGGUAUUUGGGGGC
rnacentral:lncRNA from 1 species